GCCGCCUGGCCGCGGGAUUUCCGUAGGUGANACCUGCGGAAGGAUCAUUCGCACGCAUCCACUCGAUUCAUUGUGCACAGCCUUCUGUGAGGGUCUGGGGGCGGGUGGAGAUCGCAUCGAUGCCCGCGCGCAGAAACUCGAGGGCGGCAGGCCGAGAACGGGCCGUCUUCUGUUCUCGUGCCUUGCUGCCGAAUUCCAUUGAACUUUUGCACUUCCAACCGCAUGAAAUCGUGAGUGGUUGUCCACGGAUACAACGGUUUUGUACAACUUUCAGCGACGGAUGUCUCGGCUCGAACAACGAUGAAGGGCGCAGCGAAGUGUGAUGAGCAUUGUGAAUUGCAGAAUUCCGUGAACCAAUAGGGAUUUGAACGUAUACUGCGCUCUCGGGAUAUCCCUGAGAGCAUGCCUGCUUCAGUGUCUACUCCUCUAAUACUCGCAGCGCUGCACACUUUGGUGGGCAUGCUGAUGACGUGUGAUUGUGUGUCAUGGUUUCGUAUCCUGACGCAUUGAGUGUAAUGGUUGGUCUGCCAUCGGCAAUUGAAAGCGUACCGGUUCCCUUUCUUGCGCUCGAUGACACAUUGCAACCGCAGUCAAUCCGUACGGGUUAACCCCAGACAUGAAGUUAGGUCAGCAAACCCGCUGAAUUUAAGCAUAUCAAU
rnacentral:rRNA from 1 species